rnacentral:rRNA from 1 species
GUGCCAGCAGCUGCGGUAAUACGGAGGGUGCAAGCGUUAAUCGGAAUUACUGGGCGUAAAGCGCACGCAGGCGGUCUGUCAAGUCGGAUGUGAAAUCCCCGGGCUCAACCCGGGAACUGCAUUCGAAACUGGCAGGCUUGAGUCUCGUAGAGGGGGGUAGAAUUCCAGGUGUAGCGGUGAAAUGCGUAGAGAUCUGGAGGAUACCGGUGGCGAAGGCGGCCCCUGGACGAAGACUGACGCUCAGGUGCGAAAGCGUGGGGAGCAAACAGGAUUAGAUACCCUGGUAGUCCACGCUGUAAACGAUGUCGACUUGGAGGUUGUGCCCUUGAGCGUGGCUUCCGGAGCUAACGCGUUAAGUCGACCGCCUGGGGAGUACGG